GAUGAAGAACGUAGCGAAAUGCGAUACCUGGUGUGAAUUGCAGAAUCCCGCGAACCAUCGAGUCUUUGAACGCAAGUUGCGCCCGAGGCCACCCGGCCGAGGGCACGCCUGCCUGGGCGUCACGCCAAAACACGCUCCCACCCCCCCUCACCGGGGGAGCGGGACGCGGCGUCUGGCCCCCCGUGCCGCGAGGCGCGGUGGGCCGAAGAUCGGGCUGCCGGCGUACCGUGCCGGGCACAGCGCGUGGUGGAUCUCUACUCGGCGCAGUGCACCCGGCGCGUAGCCGGCGCAGCGGCCCCUAAGGACCCAACGAACGGAGCGCGAGCCGCUCCGACCGCGACCCCAGGUCAGGCGGGACUACCCGCUGAGUUUAAGCAUAUCAAUAAGCGGAAGA
rnacentral:misc_RNA from 1 species